rnacentral:rRNA from 1 species
GAUGAACGCUGGCGGCGUGCCUAAUGCAUGCAAGUCGAACGGAGAGUGUAGCAAUAUGCUCUUAGUGGCGAACGGGUGAGUAACGCGUUGGUGACCUGCCCCGAAGUGUGGGAUACCAGUCCGAAAGGACUGGUAAUACCGCGUAAGCUUAUGGUCGUUAGAGAGUCAUAAGUAAAGGUUUUCGAAUCGCUUCGGGAGGGGCCUGUGUCCCAUCAGCUAGUUGGUAAGGUAACGGCUUACCAAGGCGGAGACGGGUAGGGGGCCUGAGAGGGUGGCCCCCCACAAUGGAACUGAAACACGGUCCAUACACCUACGGGUGGCAG